rnacentral:rRNA from 1 species
CAAAGAUUAAGCCAUGCAAGUCUAAGUACACACGGCCGGUACAGUGAAACUGCGAAUGGCUCAUUAAAUCAGUUAUGGUUCCUUUGAUCGCUCUACCGUUACUUGGAUAACUGUGGUAAUUCUAGAGCUAAUACAUGCCAACGAGCGCUGACCUCCGGGGAUGCGUGCAUUUAUCAGACCUAAAACCCAUCCGGGGUUUCCCCUCGGGGUUGCCCCGGCCGCUUUGGUGACUCUAGAUAACCUCGAGCCGAUCGCUGGCCCUCCGUGGCGGCGACGUCUCAUUCGAAUGUCUGCCCUAUCAACUUUCGAUGGUACUUUCUGUGCCUACCAUGGUGACAACGGGUAACGGGGAAUCAGGGUUCGAUUCCGGAGAGGGAGCCUGAGAAACGGCUACCACUUCC